UCCACGCAGUAAACGAUGAAUGUUAGUCGUUGGAUAGCAAGUCUAUUCAGUGAUGCAGUUAACACAUUAAACAUUCCGCCUGGGGAGUACGGUCGCAAGAUUAAAACUCAAAGGAAAAGACGCAAUACCGCGAGGUGGAGCAAAUCUUUAAACCUUUUCUCAGUUCGGAUUGGAGUCUGCAACCCGACUCCAUGAAGCUGGAAUCGCUAGUAAUCGUGAAUCAGCCAUGUCACGGUGAAUACGUUCCCGGGUCUUGUACUCACCGCCCGUCACACCAUGGG
rnacentral:rRNA from 1 species